rnacentral:rRNA from 1 species
UACGUAGGAGACGAGCGUUGUCCGGAGUUACUGGGCGUAAAGGGUGCGCAGGUGGUUGUGCGCGUGGGGGGUGAAAUCGCCCGGCUUAACUGGGCGGGGGCCUUCCAGACGGCGUGACUUGAGGCGCGGAGGGGGACGUGGAAUUCCGGGUGGAGCGGUGAAAUGCGUAGAUAUCUGGAGGAACACCGGUGGCGAAGGCGGCAUCCUGGACCGACACUGACGCUGAC